rnacentral:rRNA from 1 species
GGUCAGUAGGUUGGUCGUGCCACCGGUACGUACUGGUCUCACUGAUUCCUCCUUCCUGAAGAACCGUAAUGCCAUUAAUGUGGUGUUGCGGGGAAACAGGACUGUUACUUUGAAAAAAUUAGAGUGUUUAAAGCAAGCUAACGCUUGAAUACAUUAGCAUGGAAUAAUGAAAUAGGACGAUCGAUCCUAUUUUGUUGGUUUCUAGGAUUGACGUA